GUGUUUUUUAGUUCCUACGUGUUUUCUUUUGCCUAGUAAAUAUUCAUAUGGGUUUAACUUGUGUUUUCUAGCAAAGGUGGAGCUGAUUGGCCCAAGAGUCUCCACUGGCCUGGGUGACAAUCCAGUCGACUGAGUUAGCUUCACCACCUUCAGAUUUCAGUGCCAUUUGUCUUCCCAGCCUUCUCAGAUGACUGAUGUUUCUUGCAGCUUACAAGAAUUCCUGUAUUCCUCUUUGCAAGAAAAGAACCAUGCUACACAGAUUAACCUUCAGAAACCGAGAACAAGAGAGACAGAUGAACAGAUCUGGAAUCAAUAACAAAACCCACUGCAAUAAUGUCUCACACACAAAGUCCUGACUCGGCCAGCAUGUGAUGUCAGCCAAAUAUUACACAAUGCUGAAGGAGGAAAUUGGGUUUGAAAGUAAAAAUAGUAGACGGUGCUAGCACAGACAGAAUGUGCUAAUCCCCGUAAUGCAAUUAUCUCACUGGGAGUGCAGAAGGAGAACAGAACACUGACCCAACCUGCCACACGCCUACCUCAAAAACUCUGCAAAGUCCAAAAUGCAUG
rnacentral:lncRNA from 1 species